rnacentral:lncRNA from 1 species
GGGUCAUACAUAUUGUUUCUAAUUUCCAGAUCACCUGAGUCAAGGAAAUGUACCUGGAAUCGAAUUAUGAUAAAUAAAGAAGGAAUCAGCAGUAGCAAAAGAAAUCAGCAGGUGUAUUCAGCAGGGAAUUAUCAACAACAAUUGAAUCUCGACAGCCAACCAGGAACUCAACCAAAACCCAGUAAACUGAAUACUUUCAAAACCAUAGAAGCAAAUACCACGAUUAGGGACCAGCUAGACAGAAUUAAACCAUAUUUGAAUCUACGAAUGUUUGGAAGAUGAAAAACUGGGCGGAUUUAAUGUAACAGCAGUUUUGUAGAAGUUUUCUGCUAUAUUGUUUUUGGUUUUUUUUAUAAAAUUUAAGAUCUAGAAGAACUUUCUACUCUCAACUUUCAGUUUUUGGCUUUUGAAUUUAAUAUUCAAAUUUUCAGAUGUUCCAAACUUAUGAAGGAAGGCAGAAUCAUGCCCUUUUAUAAGCAAAACUAAGGCUCUUUUUAGAUUUUUAUUUUUAGCUCUAAGUACCUCUUUUAUUUUUUAGUUUUACUUAGUUAAUCCUCCAUUUUAUGCCUUGUUGGCCAAGUUACUGCACUUAAUUUUCUGAAUUCCAAGUUAGAACCUAAUCUAGAGUGUUCCAGGGAGUUUCAAUUCAGUUAUCUGCAGGAUUCUCUAGGUAAAUUACCCCAAUUACCCUUGAAACUACCUAAAAUCGCUAACCUAGGUUAAAAGUUACCUCAGCCCCUUAAGAUUGGUCAAAUGACCAUGGUUAACUACUUAUAAAGGCUAGAAAUUUUCAGCUAUGUCCAAACAACUAACAAAAAUCCUAACGAUUAAACUAAUCAGCCUAAUUAAUCAAACUAAACUUUGAACUUAGUAAAACAUUAGUGCCCUAAGUUUAAAAAUAAUAGAUUAACAAUUAACUAACAAGUAUAAGUUGAAACUAAUGUAAAAUUCAUGUCAUGUGAUACACAAAAAUAUGAAUCAACGGUAUUGCCAUUAAUUCUAAGAACAUUGAAAAUAAAGAGAGAAACAAUCAAAUUAACUAAACUAAACAAUGAAAAAUAAAAACUAAACACUGGAUUAACUAAGCAAAACAAAAACUACACUAAAAAUUAAAAUAACUCCAAACAGAAAUAGCAUACACGAAAAAAUGAAAAAUAUAGUCAAAUAAGAAAGAAAAAUAAGUAUUUAAUGUUUACAUUAUAAUUCUGUUACUAUAAUAAUUUGUUCCUUGCCAAACAACCCCUUGAAAUUUUAUGUAAUCCUCCCCCCACCUAACAUAGAUACACAAAAUAAAUGGGGUUUCCUAAAAUCCGAAAAUAAAUGCAGUAAAACCUCCGGUCAAACUUUAUUAAAUUGUCAGAGAUGCAAACCAACCAAACAGGAAAUCACUCCUAAAUGGAGCUGUGCUACCAAUCACCGUAAACAAGGUAGUAAAAUUCUACGUGAAACCACGCGCGAAUGUGAAGCGUGAGGGUCUGGGACCCUAAGAAGGAAUAAAUUGCUAUAGUCAUGUAAAUAAAAAAACCUGCUGGUUUUGUACAUAACCUUGGGCGGACAUGCCGGCUUUUGGGUAAGUUAUAGUAUCCAAAAGUUUAAUGAAAACACGCGUACAUAGACGUGUCUUGUCUUUAAUUGGCCCGCCGAAUGGGGCGGCGAGUCGAUCAAUUUUGGCCCCACCACAUAUGCAUUACCCUGAGGAAACAAAAAGACCCGCCGUCAACGUCUAUAACGGAUCCAUAUCGUGCGGCGAUUUAUCGGACCACCGCCGACAACUCGUCUUCACCAAUAAUGUCCGGUUCCAUUUAGUUCCCUAUCUUUCACGUGUAUAGUUAAUACUAUUUUUUAGUAACUUUUUGUUGGAAAUAAUGAAUUUCAACGAAAUUAAAGUUGUAUUCUCAUAAAUAUCAAAUAAUACCAAGUUUCUUUUUUAAAAUUGUACCUUGGUUAUAUUUUACUCUAUUCAUUUACUUUUACUUGGCGUAUAUACUAAAAAAAUUUAUUUUUACUUUUAUUUGUUACUUUAUGCAUAUCAAGAAAAGAUAAAGAAUAAUUUCUGCUAUACCCACACUAUUACUCAUUUCAAAUUAUUUUGUAAAAUCUAAUAAAAUAUGUAUCAAUUAAAAUCACAUCAUGAUAAAUUAUGCACUUUACUUAUUAUUUCUUAAGAAGCGUGAAAAAUAAAAUGUACCAAGUAAAAGUGAAUUAUUUUUUUGUAAACUUUGGUGUAAUUAUAUUGCAUUUCAUUAAGCACCUCUAAUUGUGUCAUUAAAACUUCUUUUUAUCAUAAUUUGAAUUACAUUAAACUAAGAAAUAUAUAUGGCAAUUUUAGUUACAUUAAUUGAAGAUUUGUCAUUUGCUUAAUUUUUUUCUAAAAGCGUUUAUAUCUUCUAAGUUGUAUAGGUCCAAAUUUAACGAUCACGACCAAUACUGAGUACGACGAAGAACGAGAUUAUCAUGGUGCGGCGUCCGAUGGUUGUCGUUGUAAAAGGCAGUGACCAAGGGCAGUUAGUUAAUGAACGACAUCUACGAUGGUGUAAGCUUAGUAGGAGACAGUACGUAUAUGCUUUUCGAAUAUUUUUUAUGUUGUACUUUUUUAGGGUUUUAGGGGAGUAUUGUCCAUUAUAAAUAAGGACAGUCGGUGAAGAAAAUGGGGGGUCCGGACAAAAAAGAUAAAAGAACACUUUGUAAAAAAAUCAUCUGAAGGUGAAUACAAAAGCAACCUUGUUCGUUGAUUGCACAUUUGGAAAUUAAAAUCUUUGUUCGAUAUUAAGAAGGAUUCAGGAUCCUACAAUCAUCUCAUCCUUAUUUAUUUUCUAAGCCAAUCGCAUUUAUUAAGCUUGAUUGCGUAUUUAUGAGCAUUCAUUUGAUUUCAACAUACUAGGAAGCAUCAUUCAUCUUGUUAAUUUCUUUCAUCCUUGAUCUAGAUUAUAUUACGCUUGGCUAAGAUUUACCUCUUUAUCUUUAUUAAUUGAUUUAAUCAAAAAAGUUGCGAUAUCUUUUGGUCAUUUGGCAUCGUCUGUAGGAAUUUCUUUAGUCAAGAUUUAGUUUUAUCUAGAUCAUAAAAAGGGAUAGUCACCUCUUUCCUAACUUUGCAUAAACUAACAAUGGAAGGAAACGGAGAUACAAUGUUAAAAGCAAUAGCAUGUGUCACAACCAAUAUCCUGAACACUAUCAACGAAGAUGGAAGGGAUGAUAAUAAAAACGUGAUACCAAACACUAUACCUAGGAGAGACACUUCACCUCCCCCGCAUGAAAGCGUAAUUGCUUCAUGCAAGAAGGAAGCCUCCACAUCUAUAACAUGAGAGGCACCACAGGCGUAAAAAGACUAUUGGAAGAGUGACGGACAAACACUCUGAACAACAUACUUGAUAAACCCGCUCAAUGGGAGAAUAGAGACAUUACACAUAUACAGAUGUCGUAAUAAUUGCCGGCAAACUAGAUACCCCCUCCUUUCCCCAUACAGGUAACAAUCAUAUUAUUGUUGAUAGAGGUAAUGACGCACUUGCAUUAAUCCUAAAGAAAAUGGAGGAAAUGAAAAAUGAGAAUAAGGUGUUCUGUGACCAGAUGAAUGAGCAUCAAGAAAGGGUCGACAAAAUACCAGGCGUCCUAAAGUUGUUACCAAAAUGGGACAUCGGAAGAUUUAUCGAGAAAUCAUACAAUGAAGAAGAAGCCCCCCACGCCAUUCUAAAAAUCUCCAAAAUACUUUCAUACAUGAAAAUAUACGAUUGUGUUAUAGACCUAGAAGAUCAUAUCAUCCAUUACGUCACAGCCGUAAAUGGCAACGAUCUUUCAAUAGGACAAGUACCAUAGGUGAUGCUGAAAAAGUUCAGGGAAACCCUAAUAGGGGGGGGCCUAACGUGGUACUCGCAACUACAAGCACGGCCAACAACAACAUUCAAAGAAAUGGAAGAUAAGUUUGUCAUCGCUCAUGCAGGAGGUAAAAAGGCGGAAGCUAGGGUAACUGACAUAUUCGUCGUUAGGAAAAUGCUCGACGAAGGACUUAGCGACUUCCCAGCCCAAUUAAACAGAGUGAGAAUUAGCCUACUAAAUGUGUUAGAGGGGAUGGCAGUAGCAGCCUUUCGGAAAGCGUUAAGAAGGAGUAGGUCAAGAGCGAUCAGAAAGCUGUUAAGCAGGCUCAUGAAAUUACCUCCCACUACCUGGAAAGAAAUCCACAACGCCUAUAGCACCGAGGUUAGGGAAGACGAGAAAGACCUCAAUGGUCUGAUCCAACGGGUGACGUCAGUUCAAAUUGAAGCAAGGAAAGAUUGUCGUAAUGAUUGCUGAAGGGAUUAGCUACCCCACCUCAGUCGAGAAAGGCAUCAGCCCUACAUCAGAACAUCCAUCCCACCUCCUACACGGCGCUACAGCAAAACGAAAGAGGUAUGCCUCCACUCUUAUCUGCUCACAAUUUUUUGUGUUUCUCCUUCAGAAAUAGUGUAUGCACUAGAGAAGCUCGGCUUAAAGGUAAAAUGUCCGCAAAAGAUAAUAUGAUCUGAGCACCUGGAAGUCGAAUGUUCUUUGUGCAUUCCACCAGGAAAAGGGUCAUAAAACUGAUGAUUGCAUAGGCCUGCGGGUUAAACCAGGGACACAUGAAAGAACUACUGAGCGACCGAGGAUGAACUAACUUUGCUCGCAAACACGAACAACCCUUUGGACCCUUAAGAUUGCCUUUCCUCGUUGUACCAUAUAAAUGAUCAUUGAUGGAGGUAAUGACAUAAAAAUAUACUACGUAAAGUUCAUUACUAUACACAAACUCAAAUGGUCGAUCACCAAUAAAUGGUAUUAUGACCUCAAAGACAGUAUCAUCUUUAAUAAAUCAAAUAACGAUGAUUUUUCUUUCCCUCAUUAUGAUGCUCUUGUUAUCACUUUACAUAUUGCAGAUACUGACGUAAAAAGAAUAAUGGUGGAUGACGAAAGUGGCAUGUGUAUUAUCCAUCAUUGAGUCCUUGUGCAAAUGAGAUUCGAUGAGAAAAUAAUACCGUGUUGCAUAACACUAACGGGUUUUAAUAAUGUAGUCGAACGAACUUCUAGAGAGAUACUAUUGCCUAUUCUAGACGGAAGAGUCACCCUAGAAAUGACGUUUCAUGUCAUGGACCAAGAUAAUACCUACAACACCAUCAUAGGGCACCCAUGGAUACACGCCAUGCAAGUAGUCUCGUCAAGUCUCUAUAGAGUAAUCAGGUUUCGCACUUCAUAAGGGAUAUUCAGCAUCCGGGGUAAACAACCCAGCGGCACAAAAGUGUUAUUGCAUCGCCCAGGAUUAAGCAUAUACCCAAUAACUAGAAGGAGCAAGCGCACGGAAGCAGAACAAUCAGCGAUGUUGGGGACCAAAUGCGAUGUACAGAUAGACACUAUCAAAGACCCCGACAUCGUAGAUGCCUAUGAGUGGACCAUAGAAGACCUCGAUCCUGUCCACCUGGAUGACAGCGACAACAAAACAAAAGGCUUUUAUCGGGUAUAAUAUCGUAGAACCAUGUAAGUUCCAUAAAGUCUUAAUUGGCAGUGUCGAUUUGUUUGCCUUCUCCCAUUCAGAUAUGCCGGGCAUCACAAAAAAUAUCUCCAUGCACAAACUAAAUGUUGACCACCUUUACCACAUGUGCUAAAAUUCAGGAGAAAGUUUAAUGAGGCAGUCAACAAAGAAGUUGAUAAGUUGCUCGUCAGUGGCUCCAUCCGAGAGUCCAAGUAUCCUUAGUGGGUCGCUAAAGUGGUCAUGGUGAAGAAGAAAAAUGGGAAGUGGGAUGUGCGCCUAAAUAAGGCAUGCCCGAAAGAUUCCUUUCUAUUACCGCAUAUCGACCAGAUCAUCGAGGCAACAACGGGACACGAGUUGCUAAGCUUCUUAGAUGCCUACUCGGAUUACAACUAGAUCUUAAUGGAAGAAGAGGACCAAGAGAAAACUACUUUAUCACUCACCAAGUAACAUACUACUAUAGAGUCAUACCAUUAAGUCUUAAGAAUGCAGGGUCAACAUACUAGAGGUUAGUCACCAAGAUGUUCAAAACAAAUCCGGUAAAACAAUAAACGUCUAUAUCGCUGACAUGCUGGUCAAGUCAGAAAGGAAAGAAGAUCACAUCGAUCAUCUGAAGGAAGCCUUCGACAUACUAAGGCAGCAUAGCAUGAAACUAAAUACCAAAAAAUGCGCCUUCGGCGUAACCUCGGGCAAAUUCCUCGGCUUCCUAGUAUCACAAAGAGGCAUCAAGGUCAAUCCAAAUCAGAUUAAAUCCAUCAAAGAAAUACUGAAAACAUCGACCAGCAAAAUUAAGGUAGAAAAAUUGACGGGUCGAAUAGCCGCUUUAUCAAGGUUCAUCUCACGGUCAUCAGAUAGAUGCCAUAAAAUUUUCAAUGUGUUAAAGAAAGAUAAUGGACUUUAGCGGAAUUCAAAAUGUGUCGACACCGUAAGAAAAUUGAAAGCAUACUUGUCCUCACCACCAUUACUCGCCAAGGCGGAUCCAGACGAGUGUCUCCUAGUCUUCCUAGCUGUCUCCGAGUUGUGGCAAGCUCAUUUCUAGUCCGUAAAAAUAAAGGUACGCAAUCUCCAAUUUACUAUAUAAUCAAAACCUUAAUUGAUGCAGACUCUAGCAUUAGUCAUAGCUUCAUGAAAGCUUAGACCAUAUUUUCAAUGUUACCCCAUAAAUGCGGUGACAACUUUUCCUCUUAGGAGCAUCAUACACAAACCCGAACAAUCUGGUAGAUUGGCCAAAUGGGCCAUAGAAUUGAUCAAUAACGAUAAAACAUGUAAAUCACGAACUGCAAUAAAGUCGCAAGUGCUCGCCGAUUUCGUCGUCUAUUAUGUUCUUGCAGGUGCUUAAGGUUAUCUUGAUGUUGAUAAGUUAAAUGGUUGGACUAGAGAUGAACUAGUGAAUAAAUUUUCUAAUUGAAGAUAGUUGGAGUUGUGGAUUGUUUCCUUUGUUAUAAAUAUAUGGUAUAUGGGUAGAAGCAUUUAUGAAAAAAUUCACUAUCAUGUUAAUGAUGUUAUUAAGUUAAUGUAAGAAGUUUAUAAUGGAAGAGAUGGGAUAUACGGUGUCCAAUCGGAGCUUGCCACUCAUCGUGAAGAGUUGUGACUUAUUAUUGUUAUAUAGUGUCUUGUUAUUGAUAUUUAUAUGUUGAUGGAUUUCUAUGGUUGUUUUUGUAGGUAUAUGGUAUUGGCGGAGGCCCUUGUUACAGGGGUGAUGCUGCCCGAAUUUACGUAAAUGAGCUACUAGCUUAUGUUACAGACUUAGCCUUUGCUCAGCAUUGAUUUUGAAUUUCCUCAUACUAUGAUAGAUUGGGUUGACUUAUUUGAAAAGUUUCUUGGAAGGUAUUAAGGACUCAACAUGUUUAAGGUAUAUUAAGGCACUUACUUCUUUCUUUUGGCAUGAUCUAAUGUGCCAUGAACAUGAAUAGUACGCCAAUUCAUAACGGAUCUACUCCUAAAAACUAAGGUUUUCCAUGUUGUUCUUUCCUUAUAAAGUUAUUGUAAAUAAGUGUGUAUGAUCUUUAAAUCCUAUUAAGGUUAAUAUUGAUGAUAGGGAUGUCCAUAAUGUUAAUCGAAGGUGAAAUGACCUUAUAUCACUCCGAAAGGGUUAGAACGUGAUUCCAUGAGUCAAGCAUGCAUUACAUAUAUGUGUCUAUUUUACUCUACUGAGCAGUACUAUAAUCGACAGGGUACAACACCUAUUGUGUAACUACUGAUUAGUUGGGUGUACUGGGCUCCACGUGGCGGGUACGAUUCUACCGAGCAUUCUGAUGGCUGGGUACGUUUUUAUCGAGUCAUAUUUGAGGUCGGAUACGAUAUGAUAAUGAUGAUGAUGAUGCCUACAUAGGCGUAUGUUUUUAAAAGCUUAUGUAUAUAUAUGUAUUAUUCAUUUCAUCCCAGUAGCCCCCAGAGGCACUCAAAUAUUAUAGGUUGUAUCUUCUCUGCAUCUCUUUACAUUAUUGUUCUUAUUUAUGCUUUCCUGCCUUAUAUACUCGGUACAUUAUUUAUACUGACGCCCUUUUUUCCUGGGGACACUGCAUUUCAUGUAUGCACGUCCUAAUUGAUAGGUUGACAGUCCUCCUAUUAGGCUAUCAGCUCCGUGAAGGUGUUGGCACACUCCACUUGCUUCGGAGUUGCCUAUUUAGUCAGUAUGCUUUGGAUAUGUAUUGUUUGGUAUGGCGAUGCCCUGUCCCGACCUUAAUGAUUUUAUGUAAUCUUGAAGCUUGUAGACAGAUGUCCGGUGUAUGGAUAUUUGUAUGGCCUUGUCGGCCUACGUUUUGAGAUUACAAAUGGUCAUGUCGGCCUAAUAGGCUCGUAUGUCAUAUGUAUAAGUUUGUAUAUCAUGUUGAGUCCUCAUAUAUUGAGUAUUUCUUUAAGUUGUAUUCUUGUUAUGUCAUGAUGGGUUUUUUGGCUCAUUUACUCAUGAAAGUAUGAUAAGGAAGAUAUUUUACGAUUGGUACUCGGUUGAGUAAGGCCACGGGUGCCCGUCGUCGCCCUUCAGUUUGGGUCGUGGCGAAAGUGGUAUCAGAGCAGUUCUGUCCUAGGGAGUCUACAAGCCGCGUCUAGUAGAGUCUUGUUUAUGGGUGUGUUGUGCACCACACUUAUAAACACGAGGCUACACAACAUUUAGGACUUUCACUAUUUCUUCUUAUGUUAGAUCAUGUGGUAGAGCUCAGUCGUAAGAACUCAUCCUAAAAUCUAUUUUAUUCGUGAUACGACGAUGCCUACAUCCAGAAAGAUAGUUAGUAAGAGAUUGAAUGUCGAUGUGGAAGAGUUUAUCAGAGGAACUUGAUUUUGUAUCAUGCUUAUGAUGCGUAAAUGUUAGGUCUUCGACAGAUCAUAUAUGUACUAAGAUGUGUGAGCUACUUGAUAAGGAGCCCCAAGGCAUGAAUAUCUAUCCACCCAUAUGGUAAAGAGAAACAAGAGAAUUAGGAGGUGGAUGUAUGUUUCAAUAAAUGAAAGAAAUAACAUUAAAAAAAGAAGUACGAGGUAUCUAGAUAAUGAAGAUUAUUAGUAUUUGCAAUUCAAGUAGAGAAAUAAAAGCAUUCUGAGUUACUUUCAACAGUAACAGAGUUAUAUACAAUUGAUCACACCUAUCUCAAUUAUUCCUUAUGGGAACUGACAAAUAUAGUAUAAGAGAAUGAUUUAAUAUCAGGAUCAAGUUGGGGUUAGAAUAACAAAAAAAUUGUGGUUAGAUUAUUAUCAUUAGCUAAUAUUUCCGAAGGGUAGUGCAAAUGUGGUAAUAGAUCUCCUUGUGAGACACCCAGAUUGUGAACUCUAGAGUAGUGCAAUCAUAUAUGAAUACUAGAAUAUUCAGAAAUUCCAGAAGAUAGGCAACGAAAUCCUAAAAGGGAUAAAUAUUUACCUUAGUAUGACUCCCGCCCCUAGAGAGAGAGAGAGAGAGAAAGAGAGAAAGAGAGAGAGAGAGAGAGUUUUAGGCAUCCCGAAGAGCUAGUAAGAUGAAGCAAGAGGAGAUAAAAGUUAAAGAAUGUUUUGUUGAAGUUUCCAGAAUAAAGAAAUAGAUAAAACUAUUAGCCGGAGAAUAUGAAGAGAGUUAAUGAAAUAUUAUGAGUAAGGUGUGAUAAAUGGUAUGAAAGGAUGACAGAGUCUACAGUCAAGUGAAGGGAAAGACAAAAGGUGACAUGCCAUGAUGAAAUAAAGUGUAUAAGCCAUAAAGCCACAUCCCUAUUUUGAGAAAUGAGUUUAUGACUCCGACGUGAUUACCAGAAGGAAAAGGUAGACCCCAGAGUAAUAGAAAAAAGUAUGGGCUGGUGAACAAGAUAAACUGAACAUGAAUUAGGAAUCGAAUGAUUUGAUAAUAGUCACCAUGAUUAGAAUUUUAGAAAUUUCGUUCCGACGAUAAUAGAAUGUACAACAAAAGAAUAACCUUUAAAGGUCAUUCAGCAAGAUGCUUCCCUAGAGCAAGCACUGUGAGCAGAGUUACUCAUAAGGGACUAAGUGUGCUAGGUACACUAGGUCACCUUUGUGCAUAAGCAAUUUAGUUAUCCCUGGUAUAUAAGGUUACUAUCAUGCAAUUAAGAUUCAUUGAUGAUGUGAAAAGACACCAAAGAUGAAGAGGUAAAACAUCUAUAGGUAGAUUAUCGUAGUACUAAAUCUUGGUACUCCCCUAAAGGGGGGAAUAUGGUGUGAUAUGGUAUUAAGUCGGAGUUAAGCAGUUCAGGUAAUUAUAGAAAUGGUAAAGGAGGAAUAUGGUAAAAAGGAGAGAGGGAUGAUGUUGCAUUUAUUCAAUUCCUACAAAUAUGUUGCGACUCCAGAACAUUUUGCAAGCCCAACACUUGGGAGAGGCAGUAAAGGUUUUCGGCUAGGAUAUUAUUGAUAAAUAAGUGUGAAUGGACACUUGAUACAUCAUGAACUAGUGGCUAGAGGUAAGUUAAGACAAAGAUAUAUCCCAUGAGAAAUUAUGCAGAAUAUAUAUAUGAGAAUGGAACUCCGAGUUUUAAUAGUUGAUUCAGGAAGAGCCCACUUAUGGCUAGACAAGAGGUCAAAGAUAAAUCGAUAGAUCAUCCAAGAUAAAUGUAGUGAACCACAAUAUAGGGAAUUCACUCUCGUAGAUAUGAGAUCGCAAUUAUAAAAAAAAAAAUUAAAUAGGAUUUGAGGCAGUUAAAGGUAUCAUUUAAGUUUUAUGAAAAUAAGAGAGAGUGCGACUAAGGAGACAAUCAAAAUUUGAGCCUAGAAGUAACACUAUGAGCACAAGGACACGAAGUUAUGUAACUAUGGAAUAUAAUUGGCAAGUAAGAACAACGAAAAUUUCCUUCGGGUGCACGAUAUAACAAGCUUGCAACUUUACAAGACACAGAAGGUCUCCCUAAAAACUGCAACGAAAGACUAGCUAAGGAAGUAAGGGAGAAAGUUUUCACCUAAGAAUAGUGAGCUAAAGAGUAAAUGAUCUUGUAACAACAGUUUCACUACAAUAUUGUACACACUCCAUAAGAAAGUGGCAUCUAUCGUGGCUAGUGAAUGGGAAGACAAAAAAUCAAAGGUGAUGUUUGAGAUUAUAUGAGGUACAGGAAAUUACAGUAUUCGUUGGCAAUAAGACAAGCCAAGUAUUCAUGCAAUAAGUGAUAGAACGACCAAGAAACGUAGUUGCUUAAAUUUAAGGACAACUGAGAAGACACAAAAGGAAAUUUAUGGUGCUAGCAAUUUUAAGGAAGGUUGCGAGUAGUAUAAAUUGAUAGGUGUAAGUUAUAAGGUAAAGUAUUGAAGAGAAACAAGGUUUUAGGUAGAUAGGGCAAAGGUUAAGAAAAAACAAGUGAGAAGGUGACAAGAAUAGGUGAGUCCUCGGGAUUAAACCCAUCAGAACUAGAGAGUUGAUAGCUUUUAUAACUUACUGAAAGAUCGCUACAUCCUGAAUGAACUCAGAGGAAUCAAAGACUAGGUGUAUUUAGAAGAGGUGGAAUGUUGCACUGGUAGUAGAAUAAGGGCGUAAUUGUGAUAAAUGAUAAGAGAGUAACGUUUAGGCCUUUUAUUGGGUAAUGAUUGAAAGAGAAUGGAUUUCAUAAAUUGCACGGGAUUUGAAUACUUCCGAAAGAUGAAUCAUGUUGGGAUACAAUGAAAUAUGGUUAUUGCAGUAUUGUAUCUGUCACACCUCCUUUUUUUCCACGACAACCCGGCGAAAGGUGUAGAUAAGGGAGUUUUUCCAAUUAAAGGACAAUGGAAACGAGAUUAAAUUAUUUAAGGGAUUUCAGAUUUAUGGUGUCCCAAGUCACCGUUUAGAAUCCGGAAUCAAGGAAAGAAUGACUCUGUUUAACAGUCCACGAACAAGAAAUCCAGGUAAGGAAUUCUAUUAACCCGGGAGAAGGUGUUAGGCAUUCCCGGAAUCUGUGUAUCUAGCACAGUCGCUCAACUGUUAUAUUUGGCUUGAAUUAUCUGAUUUUAAACAAUUAUGAACCUCUGUGCAUUUUAAAUCUUUUAACCAUUUUUAUUAUUAUAACUUUUAGAGAGAAUUGCAAUGUCGUUAAAACAUGUCUCGAGUCACGUCACAUAAAUGCACCCAUGGUUCUUGACACAUUUCAACUUCGUUGGGAUUUGGAUUUGGGUCACAUAAAUGUGCACCUGAAUUUAGGAAAGUAGUUAUUAAGCACGCACCUAGAGCAGCUACGCAUUAUUAACUUUGUGAGGGUCAUGGAAUUUACGUCUCGAAUCUAAGGAUAAACAAGAUUAAUUUAAAUAAAAGGCCGUGCAUUUGAAAUUUUUAUUCGACGCGGCACACAUCAAUUUAUUUUGAAAACCAUAACUAUAAUGUUUUCUAAAUUUGAUAUUAUCACGAAGAGUUAUGGAGAGUAAUUGUAACAUACGGGUAAGCCUCAAACUGAUUUAAUCGUAAUUAAACAUUUUCACAGUCACAUCACAAUGAAUAAACUAGAAACAAAUGCUAACUAACACUCAAAAUGACGCCACUUAAUAUUACAAAAGAAAAGAAUACAAAAAUACUACAUGAAACACCUUUCAUCAAACAAACUUUCCAUGAAAUAGUUGGCAAUUAACUCCAUGUGUAUACUUAAUCGGAUAAUUCAAAUCGAAUAUCAAAAAAUUUGAAACGCACAACAUCACACUUUCAACAAAGAAAUGGUGAAGUAGCUUCAACGGGCUCCAACCAUGUGACAGAAUAUUUAACAAAACAGUAUGGUCCAAUAAUUGGCCCAGAUCCACGAAAAUCGCGCGAUUACCAGAAUUAUAUUCUACUCAUCUCAGCUUGAAUGUAUUAAACAGAUAUUAAUCGCGCGAUUACCAGAAUUAUAUUCUACUCAUCACAGUUUGAAUGUAUUAAACAGAUAUCAACAUUUAGAGCGGAAAUCGAAAUAACGAACGGACCUUAAAUGGAGACAAUCUGAACAAAGACGACAGCAAAUCGGACGCGAAACCACGAACCUCGUCCUCGAGCAACACAGCUGAACCAAGCUACACCAACAAAGCUUCACACAAAAUCCAUGAAUGAAAAUCAAAACCAGAAACUGUUAUUUUUGACUCUCUGUAUGUGUGUGUGCGACUGAAAAUUGGUAGGAAGAGGAAGGUCCAAUGGUGUGUUUACUGUCGAUUUCCCAACCCCUGCUAUUUUGUUUCGCUUCAGUCCAGAAGAGAGGUGAGAGCUCGUCGUGGGUGUAUGUUGUUGCGGUGUGACUCGUUUUCCGGCGAGGGUGUAUGUGUGUGUUUGUUGGAUUCCGGUGAGCUGGGAUGUUGCUGUGUGACUCGUUUUCCGGCGAGGGUGUAUGUGUGUGUGUUUGUUGGAUUCCGGCGAGCUGGGAGGUUAAUGGAGGAGAAGACACUGAAGAGAGGGGUGGGUCAUUCGGAGAAGAUGGGAGAACCAUUAGAGAAGACGACACCAGGGGGUCCGUCCUUUGUUUGUCCUCUGCACAGUUGCGCCUCUUCCGGGCGUGUAUUGUAUCGUGUAUAGGC